ensembl:lncRNA
CAAAUGAACAAAUUCUACCUUAAAUGUGACAAAAGCCAGUUUCUUCUAGGUGUCUUUGUUUCUCCCUUCUUUCCAUUAUCAGGGGCUUUAUGGAAUGAGGAGGAAGACAGGAAGGAGCCUGGAAAUUGCUUGACACCAGCUCAGCAUGAGAGCUGAACUUGAAAAUCUCUGGUCUAUGAAAAUGAAGAGAGAGAACCAGGAUUUGUCAAAAUGGGUCAGACUUUCUCUUUUCCUUUUCUUUAGCUUGAACUGAAAGACAAUGGCGAUUACUAGGUGGGGUCAGGUUCAAGGAGGUGGAUGCAGUACAGGGAGACUCUCUCUUAUGGAAAACCUUCCCCAACACACACACACACACACACACACACACACACACACACACACUCACACACACUCAUACACACUGACUCUUCUGACUUCUGAUGCUAAUGCUUUCACCUUUUCUCAUUUAACCAAAAAGCAGAAUUUGAAAUGCACUCUGGGCAUGUAAGUCUUGUAGGGCCAUACUGAAUGUAGGCCAGAGUGCCACUUCUGACGGUUAGGAGGCAGCCAGAGCUGGUUCUGAGCUUAAGAGAGAUUGCUAAGCAGCUGAUCUGAGCUAGAAAAAUAAAUUUAUGAGAAAUAAGAGAAAGAAAAUGUUCCAAGUGAAUGGCAGAAGAAAAACUGGGUGUGGAUCUGUCAUUUAUGGGCAAAAUACUAACUUAUGCAUUGUGAUUUCACAAGUUCAUCUGACUACUACAAGCUCAACAGCACAGUAGAGAAGGAAAAUAAAAGUCAUUCAUUGAUUUCGGGGUAGGAUCUUUGUAAAUUUUCAGGAGGAAAAAAAAAAAACACAGUUCAGAAAAGUUGAUCAUCUUGCCCAAUAGCACUCUGAGACUUAGGAUCAGAGGUUGGUCUUGGGAUUCCCCAGGCAGUCCAGUAACCACGCUGUGCUGCCUACACAAGUAAGAAUGGUGCAGAGCAGAGGAGGAGCUGCCCAGGUGACCGGGAGGUCAGAGGGAAAAGAGGAUGUCAAGGCAGGAGGGAAGGUGGGAGCACGCUGAGGGGGCAUUUCCUACACACGAGGCUCUGGUACCUGUUUGGCCCAGAAGACAUCAACAAGGGGGGAAAUGACUAAGGUGGAGUCUGCGGGUUCUUUGCAAAAUGUCAGCACUCCUUAGAACCACACGACUGUUUUCUCAGCCCUCUGGAAUUCGUUAAUUUAUUCAACAAUAUUUUCGAGCACCUGUUUUGUUCCAGGCGCUGCUCCUGGCCAUAUGAAUAAAACCGACCCUUAAAAGACAGGCCCUUUUCCUCUGGAGGGUGUUCUAGUGAGAUAUAGGAAAAUAAAUAAACAUGAGAGUGUCUAAUCAUGUUAAGUGCUAUGAAGAAAACUGCACAGAGUAAUAUGGGAGUGACUGGAGGAUCUGCUUUGGACUGGGUGGUUAGGAAAACCUCUUUAAGGAGGCGGCAUUUGAGCUGAGACCUCGAAGAGAAGAGCCAGUGACACAGUGAGACAGCUGGUUAGAGAGCACAGGCCAUGCAAAGGCUCAAGGACAAGGUCAAGUGAUCAUGAGACCAAGGGUGGCAGGUUCAAGGAAACACAGAAAGUCUGCGUGGCUGUGACUCUGGGAGGAAGGAGGAGCGGAUGAAAUGAGGUCAUCCCGGUGAGCUCAGCCGUACCAGAGAGAUGCAUCUGUCCACUUAGCAAGUAUCAAGCGUCCACUAGGCGCAGGGCA